UUUACAUAUAAAGUUAGUAAAGAGAUCAGUGACAUACAUUAUGACAGCGCCGGCGUUGAAAAACUAAAAGGCGUAUGACCAGGGUUGCUUAGCAAAAGUUAACUUUUCAAUUUUCCUUCAAAUUCUGGAAAUACGUUUCAAGCAAAUUGAAUUUCAAAUUGCUGAACAAAUUGCCAUUCAAUUUGACAACAACUAUUCGUCAUCUUUUAUAAAUCUGUUUUUUGACUACAAUAUAAAGGUAAAAUACUGUACAAAUUGUCGAAAAAUUAACUGAAAAUUUUCCUUUUCAACUUUUGCUGUUAAUUUGUCACCAAAUUCCGGCAAAAGAUUUCAGGUAAACUGAAUUUUCAAGUUACCAUCAACUUACGGAUACAAUGGCUAUUAGGGAAAAAAAAAUACAUGGCUUCAUUGUCACAACCGAAAAGUAAAGUGGAUCUAUCAAUAUCAAAACUAUUUAUUGGUUUAUGUAAAGGUGCACAUAGUUCAGUAAUAUUUACUUUAGCAUCAAUUCCACGUGUUGCUAACCAAUGGCUAUCAUUAUCUAAAAUUUAUAUAAAUUUAUUAUUAUAUUUUUUUUCAUAUAUCAAACAAAAAUAUUAAUUAUUUAAACAAUAAAUAAUAUUACCAAGAUUCAAUUUAGAGCCAUGAACAUUAUUCCAAUGCCAUAAUUCACCAUUAAUAGAACAAGUGAAUAAAUUAUUUGGUCUAUCCGGAUGAAACAUAACUUCACUAACUGCUUGGGAAUGAGCUAAAAGUUGAGAUAUAGGAUGUGUACUUUGACGUAAAUCCCAAACUGAAAGACUACCAUCACCUCCACCGGCAGCAACAAUGUGUCGUUGAGUAGGAUGAUGGGCUAUAUCCGUAGCUUCUGUCUAAAAAUUUUUUUAUAUUAAUUUUAAUUUUAAUUAUUACUAUUUUAAUAAAUACAUACUUUAAGUUGAUCAGGAAGCAUAAAAGUUGUUGCUGGUUUAUCUUGAUCGUUUCUAAGAUCCCAAAGUUUCAUAUGACCUCUGGUAUUACUAGUUAAUAUUUCAUUGUGUCUUAAAAAAUCAAUGCAAAGUAAUGAACAGCUAUCGGCAUUUUCAAUUGUUCUUACAGGAUUUUUAAGUUGAGCUGUUAGUAAAUUUAUUCUUCCAUCUUCUCCAACAGUAGCUAUAUCUUGAUUAAAAGUUGAUAAUGCUGUACAAGAUGCAUUUUCACCGGUGCU